AUUGCCUCAGUAACGGCGAGUGAAGCGGCAAGAGCUCAAAUUUGAAAGCUGGCCCCUCCGGGGUCCGCAUUGUAAUUUGCAGAGGAUGCUUCGGGUGCAGCCCCCGUCUAAGUGCCCUGGAAUGGGCCGUCAGAGAGGGUGAGAAUCCCGUCUGGGAUGGGGUGCCUGCGCCCGUGUGAAGCUCCUUCGACGAGUCGAGUUGUUUGGGAAUGCAGCUCUAAAUGGGUGGUAAAUUUCAUCUAAAGCUAAAUAUUGGCCGGAGACCGAUAGCGCACAAGUAGAGUGAUCGAAAGAUGAAAAGCACUUUGAAAAGAGAGUUAAACAGCACGUGAAAUUGUUGAAAGGGAAGCGCUUGCGACCAGACUCGCCCCCGGGGUUCAGCCGGCAUUCGUGCCGGUGUACUUCCCCGGGGGCGGGCCAGCGUCGGUUUGGGCGGCCGGUCAAAGGCCUCCGGAAUGUAGCGCCCUUCGGGGCGCCUUAUAGCCGGGGGUGCAAUGCGGCCAGCCUGGACCGAGGAACGCGCUUCGGCUCGGACGCUGGCA
rnacentral:rRNA from 1 species